UUGCUGACUAAGGACAACCAACUGCUUUCACAGUUUGAAUCACUGGAGUAUACUUCUGUUCAUGUCACCUAUGCCAAACAAUCAUAGGAGGCCAGAACCUGAUCCAGGCUUUCUGGCUAUAAUAAACUGCUGCAUCAAUGACCACCCUCUGGCCUAUGCCAUGUCUAGUAGAAGGAAUAUGCAGUGCUGGGGGACUGGGCAGGUCCCAAUCCUGCAAUGAACACCUGCGUGAACACCAUUGACUUCAAAGGAGCUCCAUGCAGAUGCAAGACUGGGAAGCACCUCCAUGGAACUCACUGCAGGAAUGUACCUUAGGGCUUGUCUACACAGUGCUUCAGUCUGUAAUAGCAGGGUAUAAAUUCUAGUGUGCACUAGUAUGUUGCACACUAAUUGCCCAGGUGGACCCUGCUGGCGCACACUAAAAGUUCCCUAGUCCGCAUUAAUGUAGUCCCAUUUCAAACACUACUAUCUUAAUGUGCACUAGACUGUGUCCAGUACCGUCUGUCUUCAUGUAAUUUUUGCCUACAUGCUAUUUGCUUUUAUCAGAAAGUGAAUGCCCUGUCCAAUCAUUUAUUCUGAGUCUCUCCUACAAAUUAUGAAAGUAGGGUUUUAAUUUAAAUGAAUGCAUAUAUGUAAAAUGUAACAAAGCCUCUGACUUCCUUUUUUUUUUAAUGACUUUACUAUAUGACAGAUUAUUGGGAGAGCAGCAAGGACUAAAUUAGGGAAAUACAACCGGCACCACUCAGAUGUGUGCUUGUGGGUAGGUUAAAACCAUGAGAUCUGGAUCCAAAUGGUCCACCCACAAAAUAUCAAAGGGCUUCCACUGAAAAAGGGCUUGUUUGUAAUAUUCCUGCCUCUCUGUCCUGUUAAUGCUACCUCGUGCUCUCUGAUCCCCAUUGCAAAUCCUAG